rnacentral:lncRNA from 1 species
GUAAUUUCAAAGUCUUCCAGAAGUAGCUGUAAUUUCUCAAAUGAUCAAGCAGCUUAGGAGCUUGGAUCCCACUUUCAGAGGCAACAGACACAUUGGAGCCUUAGUUCCUUGAUUUACAAUGCUUUGUUGGGAGUCCUGGUAGAAGUUUGGCAGCCUGUCAGAGACACCUGCACCCACGUGUAAGAAUGGGUACAUUCAACAGGUGAAAGGCCAGCCAGAGAAAACACAGCUUAGCUGAAGCUGAUAGUAGCUUUGAAAAUCUUCAUCAAAAUUACCUGCAGUGAAAAAGAAUCUCUGUCUAUGACUAUCUGGAAGAGCCACUGUGGAUUCAUACAGCAAUUUUCACAGCAGGAAAACAACAGCAAAAUAACGUGGACUAAUGAGAGAAAAUACAAGCAGUCAGCACUGCCAGGCAAAGCCUACUGCUUGUGUUUGAUUGACUGGGAAUCGUUCACUGAC